AUUGAACGCUGGCGGCAGGCCUAACACAUGCAAGUCGAGCGGAAACGGCAGUAUUGAAGCUUCGGUGGAUUUACUGGACGUCGAGCGGCGGACGGGUGAGUAACGGCUGGGAACCUGCCCUGACGAGGGGGAUAACCGUUGGAAACGACGGCUAAUACCGCAUAAUGUCUACGGACCAAAGGUGGCCUCUACAUGUAAGCUAUCGCGUUGGGAUGGGCCCAGUUAGGAUUAGCUAGUUGGUAAGGUAACGGCUUACCAAGGCGACGAUCCUUAGCUGGUUUGAGAGGAUGAUCAGCCACACUGGGACUGAGACACGGCCCAGACUCCUACGGGAGGCAGCAGUGGGGAAUAUUGCACAAUGGGGGAGACCCUGAUGCAGCCAUGCCGCGUGUGUGAAGAAGGCCUUCGGGUUGUAAAGCACUUUCAGCAGUGAGGAAGGUAGUGUACUUAAUACGUGCAUUACUUGACGUUAGCUGCAGAAGAAGCACCGGCUAACUCCGUGCCAGCAGCCGCGGUAAUACGGAGGGUGCGAGCGUUAAUCGGAAUUACUGGGCGUAAAGCGCAUGCAGGCGGUUUGUUAAGUCAGAUGUGAAAGCCCGGGGCUCAACCUCGGAACCGCAUUUGAAACUGGCAGGCUAGAGUCUUGUAGAGGGGGGUAGAAUUUCAGGUGUAGCGGUGAAAUGCGUAGAGAUCUGAAGGAAUACCAGUGGCGAAGGCGGCCCCCUGGACAAAGACUGACGCUCAGAUGCGAAAGCGUGGGUAGCAAACAGG
rnacentral:rRNA from 1 species